GACCAUCAUCAAGAGAAGGGCUGGCGCCCUCGCCAACCUGCCCGGCCGGGCAAGGUGGUCUCCGCCAAGGGAUGUGGUCCGCGCGCGCCGCGCAAGGACAACCAAGCGGUCCGGA
rnacentral:ncRNA from 2 species